rnacentral:rRNA from 1 species
AUCAACUAAAUUUUUUUUAAAUCACCAAACACGAAAUAAGAUGAGCUAAAAAGACUGCCUUGUUAGAGUUUACCUUGAAUGUUACAUUAUUCAAUUAUUAUGGUUUUUUAGGAGUGAAAUGCUUACCAAAUCUUAGAUAUCUUGAUUUAUAGGAAAAAUAUUUAGUAUUAAAACAAUUCGAAAAUGGUUAGGUUUUUGAAGACUAUUUAGAAUAAUUGGCAUUUAGUUAAUUUGUUUAAUAGCAGUUAGGUUAACAUUUUAUAAUUUAAUAUAUGGUGCUAAUACAUUUUACUAUAAUUUAGAUAAUACUGAUGUUAUAUAUCAAUAAUGUUAAUAUCAGUAUUUACAUAAUUUUUGUUAAGGAACUCGGCAAACUUCUCUACUCAACUGUUUACCAAAAACAUUGCUCUAUGUAAAGCAUAUAGGGUUCAUCCUGCUCCAUGGUUAACUAAAUAGCCGCAGUACUUUGACUGUGCUAAGGUAGCAUAAUCAUUUGGCUUAUAAUUGAAGUCGGGCAUGAAAGGGUAUAUGGGUAGAUACUGUCUUGCCAUAAGUAAUAGAAUUUACUCAAUAAGUGAAAAUUCUUAUAUAAAUAAAUUAGACGAGAAGACCCUAGAAAUUUUUUAAAUAAAAUAUCAGUAUCUAUUUUGUUGGGGCGACAGAGCAACAGUCAAACUUGCUUAAUUUUAUGGGAACUUGUUUAGGUGAAUAAUUAAAUUACUCUAGGGAUAACAGCAUAAUUCUGAAGAGUUUGUGACCUCGAUGUUGGACUAGGAAAACUAUUAUCUAAAAGAUAAUAAUAAUGGCUCUGUUCGAGCUCAUCUCCUACAUGAUCUGAGUUCAGACCGG